GAGUUUGAUCAUGGCUCAGAUUGAACGCUGGCGGCAUGCCUUACACAUGCAAGUCGAACGGCAGCACGGGAGCUUGCUCCUGGUGGCGAGUGGCGAACGGGUGAGUAAUGCAUCGGAACGUAUCCUGGAGUGGGGGAUAACGUAGCGAAAGUUACGCUAAUACCGCAUAUUCUGUGAGCAGGAAAGCGGGGGACCUUCGGGCCUCGCGCUCUUGGAGCGGCCGAUGUCGGAUUAGCUAGUUGGUGAGGUAAAGGCUCACCAAGGCGACGAUCCGUAGCAGGUCUGAGAGGGUGAUCUGCCACACUGGAACUGAGACACGGUCCAGACUCCUACGGGAGGCAGCAGUGGGGAAUUUUGGACAAUGGGGGCAACCCUGAUCCAGCCAUGCCGCGUGAGUGAAGAAGGCC
rnacentral:rRNA from 1 species